CUACGGGGGGCUCCAGCGGGGAAUAUUGCACAAUGGAGGAAACUCUGAUGCAGCAACGCCGCGUGGAGGAUGACACUUUUCGGAGCGUAAACUCCUUUUAUAUAGGAAGAAGAUGACGGUACUAUAUGAAUAAGCGCCGGCUAACUCCGUGCCAGCAGCCGCGGUAGUACGGAGGGCGCAAGCGUUACUCGGAAUCACUGGGCGUAAAGAGCGUGUAGGCGGAUUAAAAAGUCAGAAGUGAAAUCCUAUAGCUUAACUAUAGAACUGCUUCUGAAACUCUUAAUCUAGAAUAUGGGAGAGGUAGAUGGAAUUUCUGGUGUAGGGGUAAAAUCCGUAGAGAUCAGGAGGAAUACCGAUUGCGAAGGCGAUCUACUAGAACAUUAUUGACGCUGAGACGCGAAAGCGUGGGGAGCAAACAGGAUUAGAUACCCCGGUAGUC
rnacentral:rRNA from 1 species